rnacentral:rRNA from 1 species
AGUGAACGCUGGCGGUAGGCCUAACACAUGCCAGUCGGACGGCAGCACAGUAAGAGCUUGCUCUUACGGGUGGCGAGUGGCGGACGGGUGAGGCAUACAUCGGAAUCUACUUUUUCGUGGGGGAUAACGUAGGGAAACUUACGCUAAUACCGCAUACGACCUACGGGUGAAAGCAGGGGAUCUUCGGACCUUGCGCGAUUGAAUGAGCCGAUGUCGGAUUAGCUAGUUGGCGGGGUAAAGGCCCACCAAGGCGACGAUCCGUAGCUGGUCUGAGAGGAUGAUCAGCCACACUGGAACUGAGACACGGUCCAGACUCCUACGGGAGGCAGCAGUGGGGAAUAUUGGACAAUGGGCGCAAGCCUGAUCCAGCCAUACCGCGUGGGUGAAGAAGGCCUUCGGGUUGUAAAGCCCUUUUGUUUGGAAAGAAAAGCAGCAGGUUAAUACCCCGCUGUUCUGACGGUACCCAAAGAAUAAGCACCGGCUAACUUCGUG